GGAUGAAGAACGUAGCGAAAUGCGAUAAGUAGUGUGAAUUGCAGAAUUCAGUGAAUCAUCGAAUCUUUGAACGCACAUUGCGCCCCUUGGUAUUCCAUGGGGCAUGCCUGUUCGAGCGUCAUUUGUACCUUCAAGCUCUGCUUGGUGUUGGGUGUUUGUCUCGCCUCUGCGUGUAGACUCGCCUCAAAAUAAUUGGCAGCCGGCGUAUUGAUUUCGGAGCGCAGUACAUCUCGCGCUUUGCACUCAUAACGACGACGUCCAAAAGUACAUUUUUACACUCUUGACCUCGGAUCAGGUAGGGAUACCCGCUGAACUUAAGCAUAUCAAUAAGCGGAGGA
rnacentral:misc_RNA from 1 species